UCUUCGAGAUUAUGAAACGGUAUGUUUACAGUAAGUGGGAAGGAUCAAAAAGUUUUAAGUUUUAUGGAAAUUUCUUGGGCGAAUUCAUUAACUGGAAUGUCAACUGAUUCCGAAUUGACCAAACCUUCCAAUGAAAGAAAUCGAAGGAAGCGUGUUAUUUGGGUGUCUUCUUGCUGUUCGUUUUAGCUCCGUCUUCGGAUCAGUAACAUGAUUUUCAGUCUUGAUGUAAGGAAAUAACCUCGUUGAGGAUCUCACUAGAAAGAAAACAGGAAGAAUUUUUACAAAGCAGAAGAGGAUAAUAAUACAUUUUUCGGGUAACAUUUGGUGAUGUAUCGAAUAUCCUUAUUGUCUGUGGAUUGUGGUAACAAGUAUUGUAGUAUUUUACUUGUCUUUCUUGACUGAAAUAUAUUAAAUUUGUAAGUAGAUUUCUAGUUUCUUCCUAAUAUGUUUAUUUUAAAGCAACUUUCAAAAAACGGUUGAGUUUUUUAUAACUUUUAUUUCUGCAAUAAAAGCUGUAAAAUGUGAAAACCGAAAGGUAAGUCGAUUCGGAGAAAGAGCCUACACGGCUAAUAUCUCCAUAUAAACCGUGAGGAAAAGAAGAAGAACCGAGACGUAGUUUCUUAUUCGUAAAAUACAUUUAUACCUGAUUUUCUUGUUUUAAAAAUCGUAGGUUUAAACCCAGCUGUAAUUCUAUUGCGAGAAAUAUCCAAGGAAGAAUUUUUAAAAUUAUUAGUUUAAUGUUGAAAUAAUUAAAUUUCACUUAGAAAAUAAUAUAUGACGUAAUUUUCGUAUUCGAUAUCAUUCGUGUCUUUUUGUUACAGAUUCAUUACUCACCAUUCAAGAGCAUUUAUGUGUACUAAAUAAA